UAAACCUGAUUGACUGGUUUC
rnacentral:piRNA from 1 species